GAUCUCUGUGUAUGAAGACACACCAGGAGAGCUGCUGGGAAAUAAAAGAAGCUUAAUAUUAUUUAUCCCAUUGCCGGAUCCUCAUAUAUAUUUUUUGGACAUAUGAAAGUAUUGUAGGUAAAUUAAAUAAAAAUUUGGACAAAUUAAUUACAAGCCUUUGGAAGAUUAAUAUUAACCAUCAGUAAAAUAUGGAUUAUAAUUUUGUGAAAAUACAGCUGUUUCAAACUAAUUAAUUACCUUUUCAUAAGUAAGUAAUACCAUAUAUAUUUAAUGUGGAGUCAUUCAUCAAAACAGCCAUCAGCAAAUUAAUUGUUAUGAAUUCAAUUUUACAUUUUUAUUAAUG